GCCUGGGUGGCUCAGCGGUUGAGCAUCUGCCUUUGGCUCAGGUCGUGAUCCUGUGGUCAUGGGAUCGAGUCCCACAUCAGGUU
rnacentral:tRNA from 1 species